GUCGAGCGGUCGCGGAGAGUGGGUUGCUACUUUGCCGGCGACCGGCGGACGGGUGAGUAAUGUCUGGGAAACUGCCUGAUGGAGGGGGAUAACUACUGGAAACGGUAGCUAAUACCGCAUAAUGUCGCAAGACCAAAGAGGGGGACCUUCGGGCCUCUUGCCAUCAGAUGUGCCCAGAUGGGAUUAGCUAGUAGGUGGGGUAACGGCUCACCUAGGCGACGAUCCCUAGCUGGUCUGAGAGGAUGACCAGCCACACUGGAACUGAGACACGGUCCAGACUCCUACGGGAGGCAGCAGUGGGGAAUUUUGCCCAAUUGGCCAGGCCUGAUGCAGCAUGCGCGGUAUGAAGAAGCCUUCCGGGUGUGAAGUACUUUCAGCGGGAAGAGCCGUUGAGGUAAUACCUCAGCGAUGACGUUACCCGCAGAAGAAGCCCCGGCCUAACUCCGUGCCAGCAGCCGCGUAAUACGGAGGGUGCAAGCGUUAAUCGGAAUUACUGGGCGUAAAGCGCACGCCAGGCGGUCUGUCAAGUCGGAUGUGAAAUCCCCGGGCUCAACCUGGGAACUGCAUUCGAAACUGGCAGGCUAGAGUCUUGUAGAGGGGGGUAGAAUUCCAGGUGUAGCGGUGAAAUGCGUAGAGAUCUGGAGGAAUACCGGUGGCGAAGGCGGCCCCCUGGACAAAGACUGACGCUCAGGUGCGAAAGCGUGGGGAGCAAACAGGAUUAGAUACCCUGGUAGUCCACGCCGUAAACGAUGUCGACUUGGAGGUUGUGCCCUUGAGGCGUGGCUUCCGGAGCUAACGCGUUAAGUCGACCGCCUGGGGAGUACGGCCGCAAGGUUAAAACUCAAAUGAAUUGACGGGGGCCCGCACAAGCGGUGGAGCAUGUGGUUUAAUUCGAUGCAACGCGAAGAACCUUACCUACUCUUGACAUCCAGAGAACUUAGCAGAGAUGCUUUGGUGCCUUCGGGAACUCUGAGACAGGUGCUGCAUGGCUGUCGUCAGCUCGUGUUGUGAAAUGUUGGGUUAAGUCCCGCAACGAGCGCAACCCUUAUCCUUUGUUGCCAGCGGUUAGGCCGGGAACUCAAAGGAGACUGCCAGUGUAAACUGGAGGAAGGUGGGGAUGACGUCAAGUCAUCAUGGCCCUUACGAGUAGGGCUACACACGUGCUACAAUGGCGCAUACAAAGAGAAGCGACCUCGCGAGAGCAAGCGGACCUCAUAAAGUGCGUCGUAGUCCGGAUUGGAGUCUGCAACUCGACUCCAUGAAGUCGGAAUCGCUAGUAAUCGUAGAUCAGAAUGCUACGGUGAAUACGUUCCCGGGCCUUGUACACACCGCCCGUCACACCAUGGGAGUGGGUUGCAAAAGAAGUAGGUAGCUUAACCUUCGGGAGGGCGC
rnacentral:rRNA from 1 species